rnacentral:rRNA from 1 species
CAGCAGCCACGGGAAUACGUAGGUGGCAAGCGUUGUCCGGAAUUAUUGGGCGUAAAGCGCGCGCAGGCGGUUUCUUAAGUCUGAUGUGAAAGCCCCCGGCUUAACCGGGGAGGGUCAUUGGAAACUGGGAGACUUAGAGUGCAGAAGAGGAGAGUGGAAUUCCAUGUGUAGCGGUGAAAUGCGUAGAUAUAUGGAGGAACACCAGUGGCGAAGGCGACUCUCUGGUCUGUAACUGACGCUGAGGCGCGAAAGCGUGGGGAGCAAACAGGAUUAGAUACCCCCGUAGUCCCUGUCUCUUAUU